GACGAACGCUGGCGGCGUGCCUAAUGCAUGCAAGUAGAACGCUGAAGCGAGGAGCUUACUCUUCUUGGAUGAGUUGCGAACGGGUGAGUAACGCGUAGGUAACCUGCCUUGUAGCGGGGGAUAACUAUUGGAAACGAUAGCUAAUACCGCAUAACAAUGGAUGACACAUGUCAUUUAUUUGAAAGGGGCAAUUGCUCCACUACAAGAUGGACCUGCGUUGUAUUAGCUAGUAGGUGAGGUAAUGGCUCACCUAGGCGACGAUACAUAGCCGACCUGAGAGGGUGAUCGGCCACACUGGGACUGAGACACGGCCCAGACUCCUACGGGAGGCAGCAGUAGGGAAUCUUCGGCAAUAGGGGCAACCCUGACCGAGCAACGCCGCGUGAGUGAAGAAGGUUUUCGGAUCGUAAAGCUCUGUUGUAAGUCAAGAACGGGGGUGAGAGUGGAAAGUUCACACUGUGACGGUAGCUUACCAGAAAGGGACGGCUAACUACGUG
rnacentral:rRNA from 1 species